AGUGAACGCUGGCGGCAGGCCUAACACAUGCAAGUCGAGCGGCAGCGCGUCCGACCACCCUCGGGUGGUCGGAUGGCGGCGAGCGGCGGACGGGUGAGGAAUGCAUCGGAAUCUGCCUCGUUGUGGGGGAUAACGUAGGGAAACUUACGCUAAUACCGCAUACGACCUACGGGUGAAAGUGGGGGACCUUCGGGCCUCACGCGAUGAGAUGAGCCGAUGCCGGAUUAGCUAGUUGGUGAGGUAAAGGCUCACCAAGGCGACGAUCAGUAGCUGGUCUGAGAGGAUGACCAGCCACAUUGGGACUGAGACACGGCCCAGACUCCUACGGGAGGCAGCAGUCGGGAAUAUUGGACAAUGGGGGCAACCCUGAUCCAGCAAUACCGCGUGUGUGAAGAAGGCCUGCGGGUUGUAAAGCACUUUUAGUAGGGAAGAUAAUGACGUUACCUACAGAAAAAGCACCGGCUAACUCCGUGCCAGCAGCCGCGGUAAAG
rnacentral:rRNA from 1 species